rnacentral:rRNA from 1 species
UGCUUAACACAUGCAAGUCGAACGAGAAAGUUCUCUUCGGAGGAUGAGUAGAGUGGCGCACGGGUGAGUAACACGUGGAUAAUCUGUCUUCGGGAACGGGAUAACCAAUCGAAAGGCUGGCUAAAACCGUAUGAAGUUUUGUAUUGCAGGAUACAGGAUGAAAAGGUGCCUCUGAUGCAAGCAUCUGCUUGAAGGUGAGUCCGCGUCCCAUUAGCUUGCUGGUGGGGUAAGAGCCUACCAGGGCGACGAUGGGUAGCUGGUCUGAGAGGAUGAUCAGCCACACUGGAACUGAAACACGGUCCAGACUCCUACGGGAGGCAGCAGUGAGGGAUUUUGCGCAAUGGGGGAAACCCUGACGCAGCAACGCCGCGUGAGUAAGAAGGCCUUUGGGUCGUAAAGCUCUGUCAACAGGGAAGAAGUUACUGUAUAUGAACAGUGUAUGGUAUUGACGGUACCUGUGGAGGAAGCACCGGCUAACUCCGUGCCAGCAGCCGCGGUAACACGGGGGGUGCAAGCGUUAUUCGGAAUUAUUGGGCGUAAAGGGCGCGCAGGCGGUCUUGCCGGUCAGGUGUGAAAGCCCGGGGCUCAACCCCGGAAGAGCAUUUGAAACAGCAAGACUUGAGUACAGGAGAGGAAAGCGGAAUUCCUGGUGUAGAGGUGAAAUUCGUAGAUAUCAGGAGGAACACCCAUGGCGAAGGCAGCUUUCUGGACUGAUACUGACGCUGAGGCGCGAAGGUGUGGGUAGCGAACAGGAUUAGAUACCCUGGUAGUCCACACAGUAAACGAUGUUCACUAGGUGUAGCGGAUAGAUAAAAUCUGCUGUGCCGGACUAACGCAUUAAGUGAACCGCCUGGGGAGUACGGUCGCAAGAUUAAAACUCAAAGGAAUUGACGGGGGCCCGCACAAGCGGUGGAGCAUGUGGUUUAAUUCGACGCAACGCGAAGAACCUUACCUGGGUUUGACAUCCUGUGGAUCCCCGAGAGAUCGGGGAGUGCUUCGGGAGCACAGAGACAGGUGCUGCAUGGCUGUCGUCAGCUCGUGUCGUGAGAUGUUUGGUUAAGUCCAGCAACGAGCGCAACCCUUAUCUUCAGUUGCCAGCACUUCGGGUGGGAACUCUGGAGAGACUGCCCCGGUAAACGGGGAGGAAGGUGGGGAUGACGUCAAGUCCUCAUGGCCCUUAUGGGCUGGGCUACACACGUGCUACAAUGGCAGCGACAGAGGGAAGCAAGCCCGCGAGGGUGCGCGAAUCUCCAAACGCUGUCUCAGUUCGGAUCGCAGUCUGCAACUCGACUGCGUGAAGCCGGAAUCGCUAGUAAUCGCGGAUCAGAAUGCCGCGGUGAAUACGUUCCCGGGCCUUGUACACACCGCCCGUCACACCAUGGGAGUUGGCUUUACCCGAAGCCGGUGCGCCAACCUWUCGGGGAGGGGGGCGCCGAAGG